UAUGGCAUUUUACCAAGUAGUUGCAUUUCAGCAGUUGGUUUUAAUUUCACACCAUGAAUUGUUCAUAACCCGGUUGUCACGGUGAUCUCUGUGUGACGAAUCGUAUAAGUGCCUGUAUUUCUGGACUUCAACUACGAGUAGGUCUUGGUUCUCUGCCAUGUUUUUCUACGCGGUUCCGUCUGCGUAGUUAGAAAAAUGUGGAGGUGCACGAUGCGGAAAUUUUCCGCGUGAGAACGGCCGCUUGCGGGGACGUGGCUGCUAAAAUUACUUAAUCUGCCUGCACGAAGCCGCACAGACCUGCAAACGCGACAAACAUUAAACAAGCUUUACUACUCCACCACAGUUCUCCUACCAUCACACCUCCCCUCCCCCACAAGACCCCACACUCACAAACAGCACUCAGCCCCGCUGCCCCAACUUGUCCCUAUCAACAUCCCAGGUGAAGAGAACUGAGCAGGCUGAAGAUCCGGAAGGUCAUGGGUCCAGAUGGCAUCAGCUUCAGGCUCGUGAAAUCCUGCGCAGAUCAGCUGAGCAGGGUUGUGGAGCAAGUCUUCAACAUGAACCUGAACCUGGGGAGAGAACCACAGCUGUAGAAGACGUCCUGCAUGGUAUCAGUGCCGAAGAUCUCGCACCCCAAGGACCUCAAUCACUACAGGCCAGUGGCACAAACAUCCUACCUGAAGAAGACCCUGGAGAGGUUGGUCCUUGGUCAUCUGCAACCCCUGGUGAGCUCAUCAAUGGACCCACUGCAGUUCGCCUACCAGCCCGGCAUCGGGGUUGAUGGUGCAGUGAAUUACCUCCUGCACUGUGGGAAUCAUGUGAUAUGAUUUCUCCAGUGCCUUCAACACCAUCAAGCCUACCCCUUCUGAGGGACCAUCUGGAGCAGACAGAAGUAGACUCCCACCUCACAGUGUGGCUGCUGGAUUACCUCACCAACUGGCCACAGUUUGUGAGGGCAGGGGACUGUGUGUCCGGCACCAUGGUCUGCAGUACGGGGCCCCACAGGGGACUGUCCUUGCCCCCUUUGUUCUGCCCUGCAGCAGAAUUUCGUGUGCUGCAGUGCCCCCUACAGAUUUUUCCGUAGAAAUGAUAUUAAAGCAGGGCAUUUUCGAAGAGAGUUUUUAGAGUUGAUCAGGUCAUGAGAGGAUCUGGAUGUUGUUGCUUCUUCUCCUGCUGUUUUCCUUUCAAUGUUGUGGCCUUGGAAAGUACUUGUCUUUUUAUGGUUCAAUAAAGUGAUCUUCAAUCACAAGAAAAGUCACGCCUUGAGUUUUGAGGAAUCACACGUUCCCUAGCUGUCUACCUAUGAAACAAGAAAACUCGUAGGGAGGACAGUAUACCCUUUCUUUUCACCCUCUACACAGCAGACUUCUCCCAUCACACCACAAACUGCCAUCUUCAGAAGUUCUCUGAGGACUCCGCCAUCAUCGGCCUCAUCAUGGACGGAGAUGAGGAGGACUACAGAGAACUUAACCGGGACUUUGUGGACUAGUGCCUGCUGAACUGCCUCCAGAUCAAUGCGCUGAAAACCAAGGAACUUGUGGUGGACUUUAGCAGGAACAGACACACUUCUCCUUCACCAGUGAACAUCCAGGGAACGGACACUGAGAUUGUGGACUCUUACAGGUACCUGGGUGUUCACUUAAACAACAAACUGGACUGGACUGUUAACACUAAUGCACUCUAUAGAAAGGUCAGAGCAGACUCCACCUGCUCGGAAAAUUGAGGUCCUUUGGGGUGCAGGGAGCACUUGUGAGGACCUUCUAUGAUUCUGUGGUGGCAUCAGCCAUCCUGUAUGGAGUGGUCUGCUGGAGCAGCAGCAUCACGGCUGCAGACAGGAAGAGACUCAACAAACUGGUAAAGAAAGCCAGCUCCGUCCUGGGCUGAACCUUGAUCCUGUGGAGGUGGUGGGAGACAGGAGGAUGAUGACAAAGCUGUUGUCUAUCAUGGAGGACACCUCCCACCCCCUGCAGGAAACGGUAACAUCACUGGGCAGCUCCUUCAGUGACAGACUGCUUCACCCGCGGUGUCUAAAGGAGAGAUACUGCAGGUCCUUCCUUCCUGCUGCAGUCACACUUUACAAUCAAGCUCCCAGUAGUUCAGUUCACCCACUAACUAACUGUGCAAUGAAAAUAUAAAAAAUAUAAAUAAUGACACUGUGCAAUCUAUCUAUCCAUAUAUCCAUCCAUCUAUCUAUCGGGAAAUUUGCUCUCAGGACUCUCUUGUAAAAGAAGGCAAAAGUAGACCAGGAAAACUUAAUCCUCACCUCAGGAAAGCAUUGAGCUUUGUGUUGUCUUGGUGAUGAAGUCUUGCAAGGACUGAUUCCAUGAUGUCUUUCACAUCAGACAGUAUGAAUGCUUCUGUUGGUGUAAAAAUAAGAAACUAUUUAGAUAAAAGCAUAAACCAGUUUAUCCAGUUGUUGCACAGAGUUGUAAAGUUUAAAAAAAAAAGAAGGUAAGAAAGAAAGAAAUGUGAAAAUUUGAAACAUGAGAGGAAUUUUCUCUACAAAGUAAAUGUAGGAUGCCUCAGAGUGGAUCAUACUUUGGCUACUUCCAAAAUGAAUUUAAUAUCUACAUAUAUUCAUGCUGUUGACUGUUUAAAUGUGAUCUUUUUAAAGUGCUUCAGACAUCAGAAAGUCAAUGAGAAAAUAUUUGCUUUGCAGAGAAGUUUAACCAGAAAUCAGCUGUUGGUUGACAUUGUUCAGAAAGAGAUGGAAUUACCUGUGUAUGAUUGUCUUUCAUUUUCACGUUGUCGUUUAUUUGGUGAUUUCCAUUUGCUGGAUUCUCCCUGAAGAUCCAACUUUCUCUUUCCUGAUUAAAACAAAACAGUUAGGUUAGUUUCCUGUCCUCUGUGUCUACUUAGGAGAAUCAUUUUUUAUAUUUUAUAAUAAAUAAGAGGCUGCAUAUCUCA